rfam:Kluyvera intermedia strain CAV1151 plasmid pKPC_CAV1151, complete sequence.
AAAGCCCCGAUUAUCUUCCAGUUUGGCGACGGGUAAAGAUAAUCAGGGCUAGGUACGAAACCUAAGAAGGAUUAUAACCUAUGUAUUCCUCAAAGCAACCCCUGUUCGCCAUA